rnacentral:lncRNA from 1 species
GUCAGCCUCAAAAGUAGAUGCUGAGGUCAAAGAGGAGGGGCAGGCAGAGCUUUGAGCUCCUGAGGUCUGGAGCCCCUGGUGGGGGGCCAUCCUGGGUCUCAUCUACACCCCAGUGAGCAGGGGACAUCCAGCAGCCCUCUGAGUGCUGCUCCCAGAGCAGCUCAGGAGGAGGGUGGCUUUAGAGCCUGCAUUCCUGGCCUCCACCAAAUCUCAGGCGGCCACCGCACCCCUAGCCUGAGCUGGCGUGCUCGCCUGUGCUCUGGCAGGUGCCCUGGGAAGACCUCGAGCUGAGAAGUCUCUGACAUGCGGCCUUGCCAGGCUCAGCUUGCGGACUAGAGGAAAUUGGAGCGCGAGGUCGUGGUGCAGUGACCCUCGCCGGCCACCGGGAGGCAAGCGGGGCGGGGCCCU